AAGUGUAAUAUUAGUGAUAGGCAGGAAGUGGUGUAUAAGUGUAAUAUUAGUGAUAGGCAGAAUGUGGUGUAUAAGUGUAAUAUUAGUGAUAGGCAGGAUGUGGUGGGUUAGUGUAAUAUUAGUGAUAGGCAGAAUGUGGUGUAUAAGUGUAAUAUUAGUGAUAGGCAGGAUGUGGUGGGUUAGUGUAAUAUUAGUGAUAGGCAGGAAGUGGUGUAUAAGUGUAAUAUUAGUGAUAGGCAGGAUGUGGUGUAUAAGUGUAAUAUUAGUGAUAGGCAGGAUGUGGUGGGUUAGUGUAAUAUUAGUGAUAGGCAGAAUGUGGUGUAUAAGUGUAAUAUUAGUGAUAGGCAGGAUGUGGUGAGUAUACAGCAGUAAUCAGUAGCGGGUGGGUGUAAUAAGGGGUCUGG